UGUACAUGGCCUCCUUGCAUAGAGCAUAUCCACUGCACCUGUGCUGCUCUUUCUGCUGCUGGCUCAACAGAAGUUCUGUUUAAAUUGCAUGUGUCUGAUGACUGUGGCGUCUCUAUUUUCAAGGCCCAUUGUUUCUUGUUUGAAGACCAAUUGUUUCUUUGCCUCCAGCCCCUGGGAACCCCAACAGCUUACUGCUGAGUUGACAUGUUCUGCUCUGAGUAUCUGUCCUCAGCUGAAUCUGUUUGGGAAGCUUCAGCAAAAAUAUUUUUGCUUGCUUAUAAGAAAGAGAUGAGAGGAACAAUCUUUUUUCUUCAUAUUCAAACGUUCUAAAAUUGAUCAGUUGAGAAAUUCCAGCACUUUCUGCCUUUGGAGCAGAGACCUGAGAUUUGGCAAAUAUCUGGAAUUUGCCUUUGGUUGUUCUUCACAGGGAAAAAAAGGUUGAGCUAAGAAACCUUAGAAAAAAAAAAAAAAACAACAGCCUCAGAUCCCAGGCACUCAAGAGAAACUUCUGAGAGGCAGAGGCUGGAUUCUCUGAAGGCACCUGCUCAGUGGAGACUUGUUCAGGUCUGGCAGCUGAAUCACUGACGAGAGGCUGGGAGAAGUGCUGCAGCCUCGUGCUGCAGGUGUGGAGCGGCAGCUCUUUGAAUUUGUUUUUCCACACUGACAGGGAUGCUGCAGUGCUGGAGCAGAGGGUGGAGAUGCUCUCAGAAUACCAUGCUUCCAGCUGAGAAGAGAUGCAACAGCCCUGGGGGUUUCUGCCAUGUGGGAGUUCUCUGUUGUCAGCAAAUAUUUGGGGAACCCACUGACAAGGGCUGCAACUCGUUCCUGCCUGCUCCCUCAGCAGAGACUGAUGGUUUGUCAGCAUUCAGUUCAUCUGCUUUUCAAGCACUGUGGAAUUAACAUGGGAAAACAAGAGCCAGUGCUGCUGACAGUCUCAGACCUGAGGGGAGAGGCCACUGCUCCACCUGGAUGCAUGCCAUGGAGGGACAUCAUGGGCCAGGAAAGGGUUCUUCUCUCUCAGAACCUCCUCCAGCACAUUGGCCUGGAGAUGAAGUACCCACAAGUCAGGAAGGCCUCCUGCUGUGGACAGUGAGGUCUCUGUUUCCAGAAGUUCUGUGAAGAACACUGUGGUGCACAGGAUCCUGCUCCCUACCACCAUGGGAGGUUUCCCUCUGGAGCACCCAGACUUGUCCCCAUAGCCCCACUGCAGGCUCCUUGAGAGACUCUCUUCUUUCUUGCCUCUGCAUCUCCCCAGUGAUCAACCUCAUCUUGCAGUGGUGGCAGACUGACAGGCUGUAAAGUAAGUCCAGCUGGAAAGAAGAUCAUUUUGUUGUCUUAUGUCCAACCUCAUUUUUCAGCACUGAAUGUCCAGUGGUGCACCUGUCUGAAACCUCCAAAUACCUGGAGAUUCCACACAGCAAUGAUAUUUUUUUAAAACAGACCACUUAUUGUCCGUGCUACAUUUCUCUGCACCUUUUAGUCAAUAUCCCAGAUGAAAGAAACAAGCAGAAGAUUGAAAACAACUGAAGUCUCCACUCAAAUUUAGAUUCUGCAGAGAGCUCCUUCAUGCAGCUGGAGCUUUUAUGAAGUCUCCACACCAGUGGGUUUGCUCUUCACACGGUGUGUACUCAUCUCUCAUUGCACUGCAAUGAGUGCUGCAGAGCCACUCCUCAGCAGGUCCCUGGGGGUUGUGAUCAGAAUGCAUUGGCUGAGCAGCAUGGUUCUGUGGCUCUCGUCAGUCCCAGGCCUUUAUUCCUGCUUGACUCUCAAGUGGAACUGCCCAUGAGAUAACUGCAUAUUUCAUACAAAAGGAGUAGUUUUUGUCCUUUCUCCACAUUUCCAUGGCCAAGCCUCACUUACUAUCUGUAAAAUUUUGCACCCUCAGAACCUAAGCACUCAUUUCUGAGGAAGGAUUCCUGUUGUCCAGUUUCCACUGGAACACUUCUCUCAGUUGGCUGGCCAACUUCUCACACCUUGGCUUAAUGGAGGUGGAUCUCAAACCCUCUACUGCAAAAACAAAGAAUGAAAAAAUACCCUUAAUUUAGCAUCCAAGCAGCUCCCCAUGGGCAGGAUCCAGGACCUAGAGCAGACAAAGUCAGGGAGAGGUGAACUUGGAAAUGGCAUGUGAGAUCCAUCACUGGUGGUGCAGGAAAGCUAGCAGGAUGCUUGUCUGGCUCUGCAGCCAGAGUCCUGCACGCAUUGCCUCCACAGGUGGGUGGUGCACGAGGAGACAUUCUGCUUAGAGGAAGCCUGGUCUUUCCUCACCUUUGACAUUUCUACGCAGUGAAAAAAGCUCUUGGCUGUUUUCCGGAAGCUAGGAUUCAAUGUUGUUUUUUUUUUUUCUUCUUUUUCCACACAGACUAAACAUUCAUGUCAUAUCCUGUCCAAGCAGUUGUUUCAAUAGCUGCCCUGACAAUGAAGGCACUUGGGCUUAAGUGGCGAAUUCUCUGUGACCAGAACUGCUCUUAAUGAACGAUUACACCUUUGUAAGGCCAAAAUGGUUGUUAUUCAGCUUUGGCUUUUGACAGAAGCACUGAAAAUGUUUCUGGAUUGGAUGUGAAAUGUUGUGCAAUUUCUAUAAUACCAAGGUGGUAUUAAUGGGAAAAGGACACAAUCUGUCCUUUUCACAUUAAUAGACUAAACAGCAAAACAGGAGUGGGAGCAUUAAAGCUUCAGUGGUUUCAUACUCUCUGAAUCCAUUGGAGUUUUACAGCUCUAGCAAGGGGAAUAUUCAAAAGCAGAAGAAAUCAUAGAAUCAUAGAACGGCUAGGGUUGAAAGGGACCUCAAAGAUCAUCCAGUCUCUAUCCCUUGUCACCAGCAGGGUUGCCAACCACUGCUGCAAGCAUCAGAUCAGGUUGCCCAGGGCACUAUUUAUCAUGGAUGUAUAAGAUGGAUGUAUAAUUUUGGAUGUAUAAGAAUAUGUGUAAGAAAAUGUCUAAGAAUAUACUAAAUCUGAAACCAUAUAUAUAUGAACUCAAAUUGGCUUUUCUUUUAAUUUCUUUCUCUUUGAAGAUGUUGCUCAAAUUUGGAAGGCUCUGGCAGGGGCAGGCAGGACUCUGGAGAAAUAGGUGACCCUUCAUUGAGGUGGAGAGGUUCAGUGCUGUCCUUCAAAAUGGCUUCAGCUUGUGCUGCAGCAAUGCUGCAUGUGCUUGGGUUGGAGGAGGCUGCAGCUCACUGCAGUCAGAGGAAACGGAGAAAACUCAAUCCCGGCUCAAGAUGCAGCACAGUUCAGGCUGCUUUGAAAUAGAAAUUCUUACAGUUGGUUGCUGGAUCCAGGGAGGACGCAGUAAGAUGUCACUGAUUACCUCCUGGAGAAGCCACAGAUGACUGAUGACUGUUAAAUCACUUUUUCAUAGUGAAAAGCACACGGCGGUGGGAUCUGCACCGGAGGCUGUUGCAUCACACAUCGUGGUUUCAGCAGAGCUUUGCAGAAAAAAAAAUGAAAGUAAACUGUGUUAUUUUGAGCCUGAGCAGUGAGUGAGUUCUCAGUAUCUAAAUGAGAGCUUUUAGAGUCAGCUCCAGGUGUUGCAGGAAGUGGUGGAGGUGACUCAGUAAAUGUCACACUUCCCUCCAAGUCAGUUGUGCUGUCCAAAAAUAACACUCCUUGGGCAUCUGGCUGCUCGGCAUGGCCCUGCUGUUUUCGUGGCACUCAAAACAUUCCUGCUCGGCACUUUCCUGGUUUUGCACCACCUUCCCUGUCACAAGUGUUUGCUUUUAUCUUCCUGUCUCUGUUCUUCCCCAUAAAGCCAGAGACAUGGCUAGUUGAGUUUUGCACAUCUCUGAAAACAAACAUUAAUCCCUUUCAUCCUCAUUCCAUAGCUUUGAUGCAUUUUCUUAAAUAUUUAUGCCUCUUGCCUGACCACCGUUUCCUCUCCUGCUUCAGCUCAACACAUUUCUCACUGCAGCUGCCCUGUUGAAGCAUUGCUGAGGGCACUGACCACACACAGGCUUAAGCAGGCAGACAGCAGUACAAUGGAAAAGAGAAACCUUUUGUAUCUGGCGGUGUGGGCUGUCCCAGGACAGCACCAGAUGGAAAGAGGAGAGGAGCCAGGAAUACAGAAAAGCCCCAAAGACUGUGUUAGGUUAGAAGAGAAAGUGUGAGCAUGUCAUCCCAAAUACUCCCUCCCUCCCAACUUAGGAAACAUGAAUGGGCCCACAGCUGGAGAACUGCGUAAGUCAGAGCAUCAGAUUUUGGUGCAUGGGUCAGCUACAGGCUGAAAGUGCCAGAUCAGUGGAGGCGUUGGGAUCUUUGCUGUUCUUUAUGGACAAGUCCCAUAAAUUUCUGCAACUGCUGCUUGGUUUGGAUUUUGUAAAUUGACACUUUUGUUUUCAUCUGGGCCUUACUUGAGAAUGAUUGUUAUGACAGUUGUCUAACCACUGGGUUAUCUGCUCCUAUGCCUGCAGUAAUGCUUCAGACUAGGUACUGCUGGCUUCUUAAAACUAACCCUUAUGCUCUCUUACCCACAGGCAUCUCAACCCUACAGAUGUUAUCUCACAGAAGUGGGUUGAGUGCUGGUCUUGGAGAGGGAUGCCCAAGCUACGUCAUACCUGCUAUUAGAGAUAUGGCCAUACCUUACAUGCUGGUGGUGAAACCACUCUGGAGUCCUGUAACAGAAAUGCUAAGUCAUAGUCUGAAUCAGUGAUUGAGCACCUGGUGGGAAGGCAGGGCCAACCCAGGGGAGCUCAGGUGCAUGCAAUACAUCUGAGUACCCAGAAGGAGUGGAGCCAGGAUCCACCUCUUCCCAGACCUCAUUUAAAGGUUGGCAGGGGAGGAAAGGGUAUUUUUCUGGGGGUCCCUGUGUUCCUGAAGUCUUCAAAGGUAGUUCUUGGCUGGAGCUGCCUGGGCUGCAUGUCAGUCCACACAGCUGCUGUCUCCUCAAGGAGGAUGGGCUGACUGAGAGAUGAGAUUUCCAAGGCCUCUGUUGUUCUGCAGUACAAGUUUCUACCUUUUCACUGACUUAAAUGAAGGAGCCCUUUGGAGAAUGAUGUUGCCUGGAUCUUAAAUACUCUGAAGCAUUUGAUCAUGAAUUUUGGAUGCAUUCAGGGCCAGAUUUGCUGAUUUACAAGGCAUAUAUUCCUGCUCUUCAAAAUUUGGGAAUGUGGGGGUUUUGGGAGGACUGUAGAGGGGCUUGAUUCAGCUGGCAGUGAUAUCAAGGUGGCUGAACACAGCAGCAUGCCUGCACAAGGCCUGGCCCUGCAGUCUCCAGCUGGGGUGGGCAGCCAUGGCUGGUGAUGAUUCAGUGCUGCUGAGCUGGGCAGUGUGUUCCCUCAGGGAUGUGCAAGGAGCAUGGGGUGGGGGGGAUGCAGCGGGCAAUGGGCUGAGACUGCUAUCCUGCAGAGCUGGUAGGACUACUGAGGCUGUGGCAGGGCCUAGAAGGCUUCUGUGGGGCAUAAGAAACACCAAAGCACUGCUGGCUGCAUUCCUCUGGGUAAGCAAGCUGUGUGUUGGGCUGGUGGAGCAAAGGUUCAUUCUGUCCCGUGGACCGCUGUGGAAUUUUCAAGGCAACAUGGAUGGUGUGGAGAUGCCUGAGUAUGUGGGAUGGCUCUGAGACCUCCCCAGCAGCUGCGUCUGCUGCACUCAUGGCAGGUAUAACACUGCUUUAGCAGAGCUUUGCAUAAUUUCUUGAAGGGAAGGAUUUAGCAAGACAAGAAAAGAGGAAAUGCAAAUGUCUUCCUUUUAUUUUUAUUUUUUGGGUCGGGCAGCCAUAUGCUCACGGUGCCUCCAUUCACUCCAGCAGCUGCAUAUGGUAGAGGCAGUGACCGGAAGCUGCGGUCCAGCUGUGUGUGUGUAGAUGAUGCAAAGUCUGGAAAAUAACAAACAUGAGCUCUCCAAGCAGGGGCAUGGCCGUUACUGCACGCGCGCUGUAAUUCAGGAACUAACAGAUGUCCCCAAGCUUCGUGCCUGGCCCAAAAGGGACAUAAGAAGGGAACUGGUUCAGGGUUUAUGCACAGCUGCGCGGAUCAGAUGACACUGUCAGCUGAAUCUGCCCCUAGCCAGUCCUCAUUUAUCAGAGCAGGAACCCUGACCUUUAUUUGGGCACAGAAAUACCAUCUUGGAAGGCUCUGCAAAGAGGGAGAGCAAGGGCCAUAAGAAUCCAAGGCAUUUCUGUAAAGAAGAGUCUGGUUACAGACUGAGAUAUGCAGCCCUCCAUAGCUGUAUGCUCCUCACUGGAGUUUGCCAGAAGCAGUCCCAAAGGAUGCUUUCCAGGGGCCAGGCUUGUGGAACAUUUAACAUUUCCACUUACGUUUAUCCGGGGUGACAAGCACUGCUACACACGAUGGUCUUGUUCCCAACUCUGCAAGGUGGGGGCUCAGACUUAUGGUAAUAAGAGGCUGUUUAGUGGCCAGCCCAAAAUGAGUUGGCAGCUGCCAUCAGGUCCUGUGUCAUGAAACCACUGUACAUUGGCAGCCUCAGUUCAACAGAACAAGCUGGGACAUUUUUCUCAGUCUUAUUUGGAACACAAAACCUGAGCUUGAGCUCUGCUUUCACAUGGCAUGGUGGCCAAAGAUAGCUCUGCAGAUCUGCAUGGCCAGGACUUGACCAUAUUUCAAAACACGGCUGAAAAGGGGAAGUGGAGAACCCCUGUGGAUUUCCUUUCCACCUCAUCUUCCCGGGUUGGGCAAAUGAUGCCUGGGACCGUUAUGGCUGCAGCUGAGCUCUGAACAUACAUGGCCAGGGCACUGAUGCCAUGAGACAGGGCACUAGGUCUUCUCCCAUUGGCCUCAGUGAGAUAGUGGAGGAAAAAUAGGCUGCAGCCUGGGUUGUACUGUAAGGUCUGACCAUGGGAGAAUGCUUUCUUUUAAGCAAAGGCGUUGCUUAGCAUUUACCUAUUCACAAAUAUUCUUCUUUCAAAGUCAUGGAAUCAUUACAGUUGGAAAAACCCCUUAAGAGCAUCUAGUCCAAUCAUCAACGCAUCACCACCAUGCCCACUAAACUGUGCCACAAAUCCAUAGGAUAACUUUCUUUUGCUAUUGUGUAAAGCAGCAGGGACUUUCCAUUUGCAGAAAGAAGGGAGCAUAGGUUGGUGGCUACAGCUCAGAAGUGCAGCUUGGAGAUAAAGCAUCCAUUAACCUGCAGGCACUGCCUUGCAGAGUUCUAAUUACGGGCAGCUCUUAAUCCCUUGUGUUGUUUUUUUCCUAAAAUGCACUGAUACAGGCUGAGAACGAAUCCUGAAAGACAAGGCACUCAAGGGGACAUCAGCAGCUUCUCUGCAGAGCAGAGUGGUGUUGUGCAAUGCUUAUCUGAAGAAAUCUGCAAUUCGGAGUACAAGGAGUUUGUAUCAAGGCCAGGUCUACGGCAGUGGCCCCAUGGGAACUGUAGUUUCCCUCCCAAACAUGACUUGAUUCAAGACCUUGCUCUCAACCUUUGCAGCAAUUUGUGUACCCUCAAAUUUCAGUUUCAUAGUUUUAGAAAGCAGCACAAAAAGCCCCUCAGAAGAGCAGAUAGAGUGCCACCAAGCUGCAUGGAUGGUCGCAAGAAAAUUGGUAGACUGGGAAAUGGACGAGGAGAAGGUGCCAAGUAUGGCAGCAUCUGCGCCCGGCCUUAAUGAAAAGCCGGCAGCUCCAGGCGGUGUGAGCCACGCUGCCGUCACCAAGCUAACCUCCCCAUGCCUCUUGCAGGCAGACAGAGACAAGGAGAGAAAAAAAAUGUCCGGUGACGUCAAUGAAGACCACACUCUGCUGGAUAAUAUUACUGUGUGCCUCAACCGCCCACUCCCUUUAAUUUACUAGAAGCUAAGCAAGCUGUUUUGAAACCCAUAGCUUCCAGCGUGUUUACGCUGCUCUCCCUCAACCAAAGGCUACUAAUUGUCAGGAGCUUGAAAGCUACCUGAUGCCUCGUUCAAAGCACUGAAGCAGAGGGGAUUUCCAUGAGUAAUAAUUUCAGUCUGUGCCUGCGCAGCACACUGUAGGCUAGAGUAAAUUGAUCCAGCUGCUUGCGAGGCUGGAUGGAAAAGUGCCCAGGGGGGCCAGAGCACAGCACCAGAUGGAGCUGGAUGUCAUCACGUGGGGCUCCCAGCUGCUGGGCAUGCUCCAGCCUGGCUCCCAGCAGCAGCUCGGCAGGCUGGGCUGCACCGCUCGCAGCGUGUGGUUGGGUCGCCAGUGUGUGUUGCAACAUCUUCUCUUGUGAUGAAGAGGACGAUUUUGGAUUAGCCAGAACUGUUGUCGUCUUUUGCUCAGCUGCGAUCUUCUCUGUGACAACGACUAAAAAAGCUUGCGAGAGGCCGGCUGCCUCCACAAAUAACCAGAACUGGCAGGAUUAACCUGUAACCCGGGGCGGUGUAUACACACAUCCCACCAGCCAGAUGGCAGAGUUCAAAGAUCCGCUCACUUCCUGGCCGAGGUUGCACAAGUUAAUUUUUAUCCUUGUUAAAAAGAAGUAAGAAAAUAUAGCAAUAAAAUGUUUGCUGCUUGCUAUCUCUGGUUUUAAUCACCCUUGUUUUAUUCCUUUGCAUUUUGCUAUUAAAUAGGUUUGGGGAAUGUUAGGAAAAGGCAUUUUUUCUUUUUUGUGGAGGUGUUUAAAAUCCUGCUUGGUGUCUUUGUUAUUUCACUGGGAUAUUUGUUGAUCAAUUCAAUUUAGUCUUUUGGCAAGGAGUGCAA